GCAGCGAGGGCCCCCCCAGCCCGCGACCCAGAGGGCCCCCCCUGUAGCUCCUUCUGGAUCCCGCUGGCCGUGUGUGCAGCGCUGGAGUUCGUCCUCCUCGUCGCCAUGGGGGUGGCCCUGUGGAGGCAGCGGCGGCCACAGCCCAGGUCCCAGCUGGGCAACCGUCCCACCCACCCCCGGCCAGAUCCCGCAGGGCUCAAAUCCCAGAUGCAGCUGUACGAGAACGUGGGGCCCCGCAGCACAGGGGGCGCCGAUUUGGCCCAGCCGUGACGGGUACCCAGAGCCCCCCCAGCCAGGCCAGGGGCUCCCUGAGGCCACCAGGGGCUUGCCAGGAGGAGGAGCUGGAAGAGGAACCCAGGCAUCCGGCCCCCACUACCUCCACUGCCGUGGAGUGGGGCUGUGGGGCAAAGGGAGGGUGGGGGUUGGGGAGUGUUUGCAAUAAAGCAUGGAGCAGAAUCUGAAAUUGGCAGGUGGGGCUGAGGGGACAUAAUCGCACACACCUCCACUCAAUGCACACACACAACCC